rnacentral:tRNA from 1 species
GGCAGUGUAGCGUAGUGGUUAAGGAGCAGGACUCGUAACCGAAAGGUUGCCGGUUCAAUCCCUGCCGGGACGCUGCUG